rnacentral:rRNA from 1 species
GAUGAACGCUGGCGGCGUGCCUAAUACAUGCAAGUCGAGCGAACGGACGAGAAGCUUGCUUCUCUGAUGUUAGCGGCGGACGGGUGAGUAACACGUGGAUAACCUACCUAUAUGACUGGGAUAACUUCGGGAAACCGGAGCUAAUACCGGAUAAUAUUUUGAACCGCAUGGUUCAAAAGUGAAAGACGGUCUUGCUGUCACUUAUAGAUGGAUCCGCGCUGCAUUAGCUAGUUGGUAAGGUAACGGCUUACCAAGGCAACGAUGCAUAGCCGACCUGAGAGGGUGAUCAGCCACACUGGAACUGAGACACGGUCCAGACUCCUACGGGAGGCAGCAGUAGGGAAUCUUCCGCAAUGGGCGAAAGCCUGACGGAGCAACGCCGCGUGAGUGAUGAAGGUCUUCGGAUCGUAAAACUCUGUUAUUAGGGAAGAACAUAUGUGUAAGUAACUGUGCACAUCUUGACGGUACCUAAUCAGAAAGCCACGGCUAACUACGUG